CCUGAAAAGAAAGCAAUAAAGAAACCUUUUCAGUGGCUUUGAAUGAGCGAGAGAAGGAGGAAUGAAUCCCUUUGGGACGUUGCGCUCAGAGAAGCCUUUUUUUAUUGUCUUUACGCUGGUAAUCAAAUGGAGCUGAAAUGAAAAUGGAGUUUUCUAUGAAAAUAGGGCCCUUUGUUGCCUUUGGACGGCUAGUAAUUCAUAAACAAUAAGCCGGCCUCUUUUGUUUGGGUUAUAAUAUAUUCCUGCUGCUCUGAAAGAGGUCUCUCUCAGCGCACACUUGCACACACUUGCACACACACACACACACGCACACACACACACACUGGAACCAGGGUAAAAGCCAAAGCGAGGCAGCAGGGGAAGAGAUAAUAUAAAAGGAGGCAGGGAGGAAGGUUUUCCAUUCAUCCUGCUGGCAGAGUGACGGCAGGAUGCUCGAGUCCUCAACUCUCCAUCUUCACCUCUCCCUUUCCGCGAUGACUCACACCCUCGCACACCUCUUGGUCGUUUCGUCCCUGCAAAAGUCCGAAUUUAAGGUUGUCGUCUCAGUCGGUCGACAGGUGUGUAUGGAACCACUUUUAAAGGAAGAAGAUUUUGUGAAAUGAUCAACGCAUCUCUGGUUUUAGCGUUUUCUUUUCCUCAUGCCACUUUUUCUGAAUGUGUCGCUCGAUAUUGGAGGAUGACAAGAAAAAGAAGACGGACAGGAAGACAGAGAGGAAGACGAGACGUGAGUGGACAGAAAACCUGCAGCGCGAUGGGAGCACAUGAAACUCCCACUGAGCAAAAACAAGACUCUUUUUUUUCUUCUAACUUGAGUGAGGAAACACUUCAGCGUGGAGCAUCAUUUGUGUUCGUCAACCCAGAGAGGACAACGGCAAGGAUGUUCUGCACAGAAGGACUUUAUGGGACGAUUUACUUUAUACAUAUACAGUACGUAUUAGAUAUACUAAAUAAUUACGCCUGAUUGGGGUUGUUGUUGUUGGACCCCCGACUUACAACAGCGUCCCUUCCUGUCUGGAUCAAUCUGCUGUGUCUGCACGCAACCUUCCUCUGAACUCUGCACAUUUACAUGCAUGUGGAUAUUUACAUAAAUAUGGAUUUGGAUGGAGCCAACAUGGUGACGUGCAUCGCGUUGACCACAGGGACGCUACAAAACGGUCAGAGACGUCGUGUCUGGUUGAUGAAAAGUGCUGCAUGAAAGGCCUGGAGGGGACGAGGACUGGAGUGGAAGAAACAAACAUUUGACAUGGAGAUCUCCAACU